AGGUAAUGUAAGUAAAAUCAUAAAAUGAAUUUUAUGUAUCAUUAAUUCUGAUAACUGAUUUUAUUGCUUUAGAAAAUUAUUAUGGCAGUCUGCUACAAAAUACUUAACCUAAUUUAAAUUUCAGAACACAGUUUUUGGCAAAUCACUAGAAGCAAUAUUUUUAAUCAAUGAAGUGGAUCUAAUUUGGAUUUCAGAUGCACAGAGAAAGAGAGACAGGGGAGUGGGAAGGAAGAAGUUUCCUAAUUGAUUCAACCACCCAAAACGAAAUUGGACUGAAAUACAUUCAAGGUUAUGAGAUAAUCUCUAAAGUGUUAUAAUUUAUGGCAUCAUGGCAGAGCAGCUAAAAUGGUA
rnacentral:lncRNA from 1 species